UUGCCAUUUUUCACCUCUCUCACAGGUGGAUAGUGGAAGUGUCGGCCGGCGUUGCAUCGUCGGCCGACGCGCUU
rnacentral:ncRNA from 2 species